rnacentral:rRNA from 1 species
UACAGAGGUCUCGAGCGUUAGGCGGAAUCACUGGGCUUAAAGCGUGUGUAGGUGGAUCGUUAAGUACCUUGUGAAAUCCCACGGCUUAACCGUGGAACUGCUUGGUAUACUGGCGGUCUUGAGCCACCUAGGGGCAGUCGGAACAAGUGGUGGAGCGGUGAAAUGCGUAGAUAUCACUUGGAACGCCAAUGGUGAAAACAGACUGCUGGGGGUGUGCUGACGCUGAGACACGAAAGCCAGGGGAGCAAACGGG